ACAUGCAGUCGAGCGAAUGGAUUANGAGCUUGCUCUUAUGAAGUUAGCGGCGGACGGGUGAGUAACACGUGGGUAACCUGCCCAUAAGACUGGGAUAACUCCGGGAAACCGGGGCUAAUACCGGAUAAYAUUUUGAACYGCAUGGUUCGAAAUUGAAAGGCGGCUUCGGCUGUCACUUAUGGAUGGACCCGCGUCGCAUUAGCUAGUUGGUGAGGUAACGGCUCACCAAGGCAACGAUGCGUAGCCGACCUGAGAGGGUGAUCGGCCACACUGGGACUGAGACACGGCCCAGACUCCUACGGGAGGCAGCAGUAGGGAAUCUUCCGCAAUGGACGAAAGUCUGACGGAGCAACGCCGCGUGAGUGAUGAAGGCUUUCGGGUCGUAAAACUCUGUUGUUAGGGAAGAACAAGUGCUAGUUGAAUAAGCUGGCACCUUGACGGUACCUAACCAGAAAGCCACGGCUAACUACGUGCCAGCAGCCGCGGUAAUACGUAGGUGGCAAGCGUUAUCCGGAAUUAUUGGGCGUAAAGCGCGCGCAGGUGGUUUCUUAAGUCUGAUGUGAAAGCCCACGGCUCAACCGUGGAGGGUCAUUGGAAACUGGGAGACUUGAGUGCAGAAGAGGAAAGUGGAAUUCCAUGUGUAGCGGUGAAAUGCGUAGAGAUAUGGAGGAACACCAGUGGCGAA
rnacentral:rRNA from 1 species